AGCUGCUGCUUCGCCCUCCUUGACUAUAAGCUUGUCGUGAACAGGGAAUGUGUCUGCUACCCUGUUCUGGUUUACUCUGCCAAGGGCUUAGUACGGUGCUUUGCACACAAUAUGAGGUCACAAUAUGACCUCACUAUCAUCACAAUAUGAUGGACCGACUGACUGACUUAGAUUGUAAGCUCCCAGGGGGCAGCGACUGUCUCCUCCACCCAACUUGCCAAAGAGGGUGCUUUUUAGGGGGUGUGGUCUCGCUCAAAUCAGGCGAAACGGAGCGCAGAGGUCCUCAUCUGGCUUUCUUGUUGGGGAGAGGGGGAGGACAGGUAUAUUGCCAACUUCUACUUCCCAAGCGCUUAGUAUAGUGCUCUGCACCCAGUCAGUGCUCAAUAAAUACGAUUGAAUGAAUGAAUGAGGAGGGGUAGGGGUGAAGAAACAGACUGGCCCGGGGUAAGUGUUUAGGGCUGUGGAUGCAGGAGAAGAAAAGGCCCAGCUUCUUUCUGCGCCCCUGGAGAAGUCUCCCAGACAACUGCCACAAGGUAAGUGUUUAGGGCCACGGCUGCAGAAGGGGAAAAGGCCCAGCUUCUUUCUGCUCCCCUGGAGAAGUUUCCCAGACAACUGCCACAAGGUAAGGGUUUAGGGCCUCAGCUGCAGGAGGAGAAAAGGCCCAGCUUCUUUCUGCACCACUGGAGAAGACUCCCAGACAAUUCAGCUCAGAGGGCCAAGGAACGAGCCUGAGCCUCAGAUGCAGCGUGAGAGACCCGGCCCCCUGGUCCAUCCCUGUCUUCCCGAGGACAUCGUGGUGCGGACAGUGUCACGCCCUAACUCCAGCACAAGUGGGAGGAAUCGACGGUAUUUAUCAGGAAGCCCCAGCACAGCCCGGACCAGCCGACCCCACGGAUAACGGAGGACUGACCAGCCCCUCCAGAAAUACCACGGAUGCUGGACUGGGGCCGUUUCCCACCAGCCUGCUGCCCCCUGGCCGCCCCCCAGCCCACAACUGUAUCCCCUCCCUCCAGACGAUGCCAUUUCCUUUGGGGGGCAAGGGUCAAACACUGCAUCAUGGGUGCCAAACCGGUCUCUUGCAACUCCAGGAGGUGAUGGAGGUGUGUGUCUGUUUCUUGUGUGAGUGCGAGGGCCGGGACCAGAGCAGGGUCAGGGGGCCGCCCCUCUUUGGACGGGUAAAGGGUUCUGGAAACAGGGGUCUAGAGUUGGGGUCUGUACUCCGUGGAUCUUAGGCGCAGGUGUGAAGUCGUGCCGGGGCCCUUAAUUCUGUAGACAGUGCGACUUCAGCCUGCCCGGGUCCGCUGGGAGUUUUCGGGCCUACUCUGGCUUCAAGAGUACAGACUCCCUUUCCCGGCCGAGGGGGGUGCCCCUGGGGGAGCGGGGUACAGGGACAGGUGCAGUCGGGGGCGUGUGUAUGUGUCUAUCUGUAUGCUUGUGUGACUCCCCUAUGUCCUCCAUCCCUCCUGGACGAGCAGAAUGAUGGGGGGACAGGACUAACAACAAAUCCUAGAGUGGGAAGAUGCAAAGUGGUAUAUUCCCCCACCCUACCAAUGGAAAUGGCACAGUCUGGGCCCCUUCCCUACUGUCCCCUCCCCUGCCUGGGCUCUGUAAGGCCAAAUGCAUCUG